UACGUAGGCAGCGAGCGUUGUUCGGAGUUACUGGGCGUAAAGAGUGCGUAGGCGGUUUUCUAAGUUUGGUGUGAAAUCUCCCGGCUUAAACUGGGAGGGUGCGCCGAAGACUGGAAGGCUUGAGUAUGGGAGAGGUAAGCGGAAUUCCUGGUGUAGCGGUGAAAUGCGUAGAUAUCAGGAGGAACACCUGCGGUGUAGACGGCUUACUGGACCAUAACUGACGCUGAGGCACGAAAAGCGUGGGUAGCAAACAGG
rnacentral:rRNA from 1 species